CUUCUGAGAGGAUGUGAUUUUGGCACCUGCUUUCUGCUGGAAAUGGAAACAGCUGAGAGAGAAAGGGGCAUGUGAGGAGAUGCUAUUCAUCAGACAUCUGCAACAAGAACUUGGACCAU
rnacentral:lncRNA from 12 species